rnacentral:tRNA from 1 species
UAGGAGAUAGUGUAACGGGAGCACUAGGAGUUUUGAUCUCCUGGGUUUGGGUUCAAGUCCCUUUCUUCUAA